rnacentral:lncRNA from 1 species
AGGAGCCGCUGCCGCCCGAGAGGGAGAGAGAGGGAGCCGAGAAGCCACAGCGCGGACGAUCCUUUUCCUCCUCCGUUUGCCGCCGGAAAGAAGCCGCCGGAUCUUCGCCCGGGCUGAGGUAAGAUUUCUAGCUUCACCUCUUGGUUAUACCAUUUGAAAAGAAGAAGAAGAAGAAGAAGAAGAAUAGAGAAGGAAAAGAGGGGGAGGCACCCAUGGCAAUCGGCUUGCCUUCGGCCACAGGCGCCGCCGGCCCUCAGUGACGGCCACUUUGAGGACCGAAGAGCACCCCCAUCCCUUGUUCCUCUUCUCUGCUCAGUGAAAACAGAGAAGGAACAGUGGAAGGAGAAAUAAAGAAGAAGAGAGGGAAGAAGGAGAAGGUGGUUUUUCCUCUCCUUCGGUGCCCAUACCUCCUCCGUGGGAAGGAGAGAGCCGGCCGCCGUGGCUGCCGCCGGCCUCGACUUGACCUCUUCCGAGCUCGCCGACCUCCAUUCGUGGGAGAAAGAGGAGAAGGAAGAAGAAAGAAAAGGGGGAAGGAGAAGAAGUCGGGGAAGCUUCGGGAGAAGGAGAAAAGAAAAAGAAAAGGGAAGGGAAGAAAAGAAAAGAAAAAGAAAAGAAAAAGAAAAUAAAAGAAAAGAAAAGCAAGAAAAAGAAAAGAAAAGAAAAGAAAUAAAUAAAUAAAGGGAGAGGGUGGUUUACGGGUAUGAACCCGAAACCGAACCCGAACCCGAACCCG